rnacentral:rRNA from 1 species
ACGGCUCAGUAACACGUGGAUAACAUGCCCUAAGGUGGGGGAUAAUCUCGGGAAACUGAGGAUAAUACCCCAUAGAUCUAGAGCGCUGGAAUGCCUUUAGGUCGAAAACUCCGGUGCCUUAGGAUUGGUCUGCGGUCUAUCAGGCAGUAGUGGGUGUAAUGGACCCACUAGCCCGUGACGGAUAUGGGCCUUGAGAGAGGGUGCCCAGAGAUGGACUCUGAGACAUGAGUCCAGGCCCUACGGGGCGCAGCAGUCGCGAAAACUUCGCAAUGGGGGAAACCCCGACGAGGGAAUUCCAAGUGCUAGCACUUUGUGUUAGCUGUUCUUCUGUCUAAAAAACAGGAGAAGUAAGGGGCGGGUAAGACGGGUGCCAGCCGCCGCGGUAAUACCCGCGCCCCGAGUGGUGGUCGAUAUUAUUGAGCCUAAAACGUUCGUAGCCGGUCUUCUAAAUCCUUGGGUAAAUCGGGCAGCUUAACUGUCCGAAUUCCGGGGAGACUGGGAGACUUGGGACCGGGAGAGGUCAGAGGUACUUCUGGGGUAGGGGUAAAAUCCUGUAAUCCUGGAAGGACCACCGGUGGCGAAGGCGUCUGACUAGAACGGAUCCGACGGUGAGGAACGAAGCCCUGGGGCGCAAACGGGAUUAGAUACCCCGGUAGUCCAGGGUGUAAACGCUGCGGGCUUGGUGUUGGGGGUCCUUAGUGGGCGCCCAGUGCCGGAGAGAAGUUGUUAAGCCUGCUGCUUGGGGAGUAUGUCCGCAAGGAUGAAACUUAAAGGAAUUGGCGGGGGAGCAC